CUUUUGAGUUGGUUCUUAUGUCUGCUUACCUUUCUCCUAUCUGUGUAAUAUGUUUUUUGCUUGAUUCCUGCUUCCUGAGAAAUUUAUUUUGCUGAAUUACUAAAUCAUUCUUUUCAGGUGAGAAUAUGAUUUGGCUUCUUCAUUCCAUGUCUUAUUUUAAGCUUUUUUUCCUCAUACUUCUUCUGGAUUUUUCUUUCAUUUAUUAAAUAGGGCAAAUUAUUUUGGGUUUCUUGUUUUUGUAUUCAAGUUCUAUAUUUUCUUGAUUUAUAUUUUUGCCUUGAUAUCUCUUUUUGGUUAUUAGUUGUUUUAUAGAAGAUUUCUUUCUUUUGUUAGUUUUACCAUAUUUAAGUUAUCGAUUUUUAUGUUUUUUUGUCUUGAUCCCUGCUUUUUAAUAAAUUUGUUUUGCUGAAUUGGCAAACAAUGUGUACAUGAAUGUGUACAUUUUAUUUCAUAAUUAUCAAGCUUCUUCAACCUCAUAAAGUGGUUCUGUUUUUAUGUUUCUUUCACUAUACUUCUAAAUUUUUAUUCUUUGAUUAGUUUUAUUUCCAAAUGGUUCAGCUACUUCAGUCCUAUAAGGUGGCCCCUUUCAUAUUUUUAAGUUGCUGUCACUAUAUUUCUUUUGGAUUUUUCUUUUGCUUAUUGGAGAUCUCAAGUUACAUUUUUGAAUAUUUAUUUAUUUUCCUUUGAUCUUGGUUUCAGGUUCUUCUUCUCUCUUUUUUUUAACCAAUAUCUUUAGUUGAUAUAUUUAUUUGAUUCCUUGACUGGUUUUUUUGAUAUUUGCUUCAUUUUAUAUAAUUAAUUGGGGUAGCUAAAUUAACAAAUCUUCAUUAGUCAAAUGCAUCAUUUUAUUUCCCAAAGAUUUUGCCUUUUCAAUCCCAUAAAAAUGUUGUUUGCUAUAUUUGAGCUUUUUUUUGUUUUUUUACUUUAUCUAGAUUUGUUUUCUCUGUUUAUUGAAAUUGCAAAUCAUCUCUAUUUUUCCAAUUUAUAUUCAAGCUUAAUAGUGGUAUAUUUCAUUCUUUUGAGUUUCACUGUGAAGCUAUGUUGUGAAAUUCUUUUUAUUUGAUUUGUUUGUUCUAUUAGUUUUGUCCUUUUUGAGUUAUUUUUUUGUUUUGUUUUCCUCCUAUUUAAUAAUUUGACCUUUUUCUUUCUUGUCCGCAGCUGGUUUUCCCUGACUCUGGUUCUACUUUCUGUUUCUAAGACAUUUGUACUCUUAGCUACAUUUACCUGCUUUUGUACUCGGACAAAAUUGACGUGCUUUAGUUUUCCCAUAUUCACAAGAAACUUUAAUGUAUCUGGGAACUUCCUUACUUUUCUCUAUGAGAAAAGGCUAAAUUAGAAGUAAAAGAUAUACUAAUGACUAGUCAUUUCCCUAUGAUUUGCAUUAUUGCUAUACUGGAGUCCUCUAUAAUACCUCCAAUUGGGUUUCUCUUCCCUAUUUCUGAUUUCAAAUAUAACAUUUCUCUCUUUUCUCCUAUCCAUCCUGCUAAAAGCUCCAGCUCGUAGUAUUCUUUUCUCUCUCCAUCUCUCACAUAGGAGCUCUCCAUUUCCUUUUAGGAACUCAGAUCACUAGCUUUCUGUAUUGAGGUGAUGAUUACAUGGCAUUGAUUUUAGGUGAUAAGAGAAGGUGCUGGUACCUUGCCUAAAGGAAUACAAGGAACAAGAUAAGCUCUUGUAUGUUGUACAAUUAUUUUCUCAUUUUGAUCGUUAACCUGCUAAUCUUGAACUGUGGAUUUGGUGUGCCAUAGGUUGGUUUAUUUGGUUCUUUGACAUCAGGAGAUUUUGAUUUUUUUUGAAAUCUUGUUGUUUUGUGAGUAUAUCCUAAUUUGUUUAUUUUUUUUCUUGCACUAUAAUUUCUUAGUUUUCUUUUUCCUUUUUGUUUGCUUAUAAAGUUCAGGGAUAUGCUCUGCUGAAACUGAUUAUUAGCCGUCUCUUGAUAACCUUGUAUGGAAUAUUUAGGAUUCUACACAUUUGACUUGUUCAUCAUGCUAGUGGUAUUUUGAUUUUUCAGGAUUCUGUAUUUUAUCUUUAUUCUGAUAUUAUAAGAAAAGAUAUACAUGUAUAGGUUCAGAUUAAGUAAAAUCAGUGUAGAUUAUUGGGUCUAAUUUGUUUUUGCUCUGGAGAUUCUGCAUUUGUCUAAUACAAAAUAGAAAUCACAUAGGCAUUACUAAAUGGUAGCCAAGUUUGCAACUUAACCCUUUCAAAUUUGAAGCUCCUCAAACCUAAGGGCGUGAUUCUCUCCGAAGCCUGCUCCAAACACCCCUCUCAAAUCCUUGAUACCUUGUGCUUUCCCUUUGAUCUCUCCUUUUUUGAUUAUAUUCUCCUUAGCAGCAUGGUCCACCAUGUGGAGACGAAGCUAGGGCUCCAGUAGCUGUUCUCAAGGAAAGAUUCUCAGCACCACCUCCAUGUGAGAAGAAGCUUUUUUUUUUUGGCACAUCUCUGUGCUGGAGUGAAACAAAGCAGCAGCAGUAAAGGAAAGAAUAGGAGAAUUCUACAGAUGACGUCAUGAGGAAAAAAGUUUAGAUCUAAUCUCGUCCAGAGCAAGGACAGAAUAGGCAGUAUAGCGUAGGGAACCAAUGGAUAAGCCAAACUUCUGCAGAAUUUCGAGAAGCAAAAGUUUAGUUCUGCUGUCUUAAGGAGGGGAAGAAUUUUCAGAAGCAGGGGAUGAAGAUCACAACAAGAUGUAAAAGACAAUCAAAUGCCACAGCUUCAAGAAAAAGUGUCUUAUGUUGAUCACUGAGAAAAUUAUACCCGCAUCAUUAAUUAAUGUAAUGCCAUUUGCUUGAAAGGUAGAAUGAACUUUGGAUGUCUGAAGCCACUCAGUGGUCAAGAUCCCAUCAGCUCCACCAUGCUUAUGGAAUGUUUGCUGAACAAUAAUUGAUUUAGCUCAUAUAUGCCUCACGCUUUAGUGCCAUUUGUUGAUUUCUAUGUUUCCUAUUCCUGUCUUCAAAGAAUUUCCUUCGUUCUUCAGUGCUUGUGAACUUUUAUGUUUCUAGGAUGUAAUGUCACUCUUAGAGCCUAAAUUUUGUACCAUGAUGUUGAGCUUUCAACUUUGCUUGAAAAAUCCUAUGGGAAUGCAGCAAAUGGGCAACCACUCUCUCUCCACUUGCCCCUCUCCGUUGUAAAUGUUCUCGACUUCAGGUCCCUUGGCAUUCUCGAAGUAUAUCAAAUAAAUUUGUGAUGAAGCAGGAGGUAAGAUGAUGAUGAUGAUUUUGA